UCCCUUGUAGCUCAGUCGUUAAAGAAUCUGCCUGCAGUGCAGAAGACCCGGGUUCGAUCCCUGGGUUGGGAU
rnacentral:tRNA from 1 species